CUUAAAAAUGUCUCUCUUCAGUUCCUUCCAGUUGUCAGCCUGGUUCAGUUGUGUUGUUUGGUAGGAGCUGACAGAAGUGAUUGAGUUUACUGCUUCACUGGCCUACAACUAGCUGAAGCCAUGGGGUUUCUCUUUAGAUGGUUUCUGUUGUCCUUGCUAGCUGUUGGAAGGCAUCAAGCGAGUGGUUCUGGAUCUGCUGAGAAGCAUGAAGAUAAUGUGCCAGUUGCAGUCUAUCGAACACAUUCAAGUGGCAUUAAAAUUG